CCCCGCACAAGCGGUGGAGCAUGUGGUUUAAUUCGACGCAACGCGAAGAACCUUACCAGGGCUUGACAUCCCCUGACCGCGUAUGAAAGUACGUUUUCACCCUCGGGUGACAGGGAGACAGGUGGUGCAUGGUUGUCGUCAGCUCGUGUCGUGAGAUGUUGGGUUAAGUCCCGCAACGAGCGCAACCCCUACGUUUAGUUGCUAACGCGUGAAGGCGAGCACUCUAGACGAACUGCCGUUGACAAAACGGAGGAAGGUGGGGAUGACGUCAAAUCAUCAUGCCCCUUAUGUUCUGGGCUACACACGUGCUACAAUGGUCGGUACAAAGGGUUGCCAAGCCGCGAGGUGGAGCUAAUCCCAUAAAACCGAUCGUAGUCCGGAUCGCAGUCUGCAACUCGACUGCGUGAAGUCGGAAUCGCUAGUAAUCGUGAAUCAGAAUGUCACGGUGAAUACGUUCCCGGGCCUU
rnacentral:rRNA from 1 species